UAGGGAAUCUUGCGCAAUGGGCGAAAGCCUGACGCAGCCAUGCCGCGUGAAUGAUGAAGGUCUUAGGAUUGUAAAAUUCUUUCACCGGGGACGAUAAUGACGGUACCCGGAGAAGAAGCCCCGGCUAACUUCGUGCCAGCAGCCGCGGUAAUACGAAGGGGGCUAGCGUUGCUCGGAAUUACUGGGCGUAAAGGGCGCGUAGGCGGACUGUUUAGUCAGAGGUGAAAGCCCAGGGCUCAACCUUGGAACAGCCUUUGAUACUGGCAGUCUUGAGUACGGGAGAGGUGAGUGGAACUCCGAGUGUAGAGGUGAAAUUCGUAGAUAUUCGGAAGAACACCAGUGGCGAAGGCGACUCACUGGCCCGUUACUGACGCUGAGGCGCGAAAGCGUGGGGAGCAAACAGGAUUAGAUACCCGUAGUCC
rnacentral:rRNA from 1 species